CAUCCUCCAAGGCUAAAUACUCCUGACUGACCGAUAGUGAACCAGUACCGUGAGGGAAAGGCGAAAAGAACCCCGGCGAGGGGAGUGAAAAAGAACCUGAAACCGUGUACGUACAAGCAGUGGGAGCACCCUUUGGGUGUGACUGCGUACCUUUUGUAUAAUGGGUCAGCGACUUAUAUUCUGUAGCAAGGUUAACCGAAUAGGGGAGCCGGAGGGAAACCGAGUCUUAACCGGGCGUUAAGUUGCAGGGUAUAGACCCGAAACCCGGUGAUCUAGCCAUGGGCAGGUUGAAGGUUGGGUAACACUAACUGGAGGACCGAACCGACUAAUGUUGAAAAAUUAGCGGAUGACCUGUGGCUGGGGGUGAAAGGCCAAUCAAACCGGGAGAUAGCUGGUUCUCCCCGAAAGCUAUUUAGGUAGCG
rnacentral:rRNA from 1 species